AGGUUGCUCCUGCAGAACUGGAAGCUCUGCUGCUUAGCCAUCCCAAUAUUGUUGAUGCAGCUGUUAUACCGGUUGAAGAUGUAGAAACUGGACAGAUACCAAUGGCGUAUGUGGUGAAAGCAGCUGGUUCUGAGAUCACAGAAGACCAAGUCAUUCAAUUUGCCGCCAGCCAGGUGGCUCCAUAUAAGAAAAUAAGAAAGGUGAGCUUCAUUGAUGCUAUUCCAAGGUCAGCUGCAGGUAAAAUCUUGCGCAAGGAUCUUGUUUCACACAGCAAAAUGAAACGCGUUUCCAA